rnacentral:lncRNA from 10 species
CGAAUGAGACAUCCUGUGUUGAUCGCAGCCGUCUCCCAGCAUGUGGAGCAACACUAGGACCGUGGUAGAUGUUCAGUCAUGUUCGCUGAAGGAAGAAGGGAGUGAAUGAAUGUCUUCUCUGAGGAUAGCUGAGCAUCCGUGCAUCCGUCUGGCCAUGAGAACUUGGUUGCGCUCACAUGAGGAUCCUGAGCAGAGUCGCAGUGCACGCUCUGCGGGGAGCCGGAAGAAGAUACAGACAGCCCAACUAAAUCCUUGAAAUGCAGCGUGGCGUGAAAAUGGAGCGGCAUUUUAGUUAACGAGGGUCUGGAUGCCAUUCACAGGAAUGCAGUUUCUACAGGGUUCUGCUUUGCAGAGACCUCUCCUGAUAAUAAUAAUAAAUUUACUCAGAACAAUCUCAGUUGUCA